GAUGAAGAACGUAGCGAAAUGCGAUAAGUAAUGUGAAUUGCAGAAUUCAGUGAAUCAUCGAAUCUUUGAACGCACAUUGCGCCCGCUAGUAUUCUGGCGGGCAUGCCUGUUCGAGCGUCAUUUCAACCAUCAAGCCCUGCUUGUGUUGGGGUCCUGCGGCUGCCCGCAGGCCCUGAAAACCAGUGGCGGGCUCGCUAGUCACACCGAGCGCAGUAGCACAUCUCGCUCAGGGCGUGCGGCGGGCUCCAGCCGUUAAAGCACCCACCUUUCGCAAGGUUGACCUCGGAUCAGGUAGGAAUACCCGCUGAACUUAAGCAUAUCAAUAAGCGGAGGA
rnacentral:misc_RNA from 1 species